rnacentral:rRNA from 1 species
AUUGAACGCUGGCGGCAGGCCUAACACAUGCAAGUCGAACGAGUGGCGGACGGGUGAGUAAUGUCUGGGAAACUGCCUGAUGGAGGGGGAUAACUACUGGAAACGGUAGCUAAUACCGCAUACCAUCAGAUGUGCCCAGAUGGGAUUAGCUAGUUGGUGGGGUAACGGCUCACCAAGGCGACGAUCCCUAGCUGGUCUGAGAGGAUGACCAGCGACACUGGAACUAAGCAACGGUCCAGACUCCAACGGGAGGCAGCAGUGGGGAAUAGUGAACAAUUGGCUAAAGGCUGAUGCAGCCAUGCCGCGUGUAUGAAGAAGGCCUUAGUGUUGUAAAGUACUUUCAGCGGGGAGGCGUUACCCGCAGAAGAAGCACCGGCUAACUCCGUGCCAGCAGCCGCGGUAAUUC